CCUACGGGAGGCAGCAGUGAGGAAUAUUGGACAAUGGGCGAAAGCCUGAUCCAGCAAUGCCGCGUGAGUGAUGAAGGCCUUAGGGUUGUAAAGCUCUUUUACCCGGGAUGAUAAUGACAGUACCGGGAGAAUAAGCUCCGGCUAACUCCGUGCCAGCAGCCGCGGUAAUACGGAGGGAGCUAGCGUUAUUCGGAAUUACUGGGCGUAAAGCGCACGUAGGCGGCUUUGUAAGUUAGAGGUGAAAGCCUGGAGCUCAACGCCAGAAUUGCCUUUAAGACUGCAUCGCUUGAAUCCAGGAGAGGUGAGUGGAAUUCCGAGUGUAGAGGUGAAAUUCGUAGAUAUUCGGAAGAACACCAGUGGCGAGGGCGGCUCACUGGACUGGUAUUGACGCUGAGGUGCGAAAGCGUGGGGAGCAAACAGGAUUAGAUCCCCUG
rnacentral:rRNA from 1 species